UAAGCAAAUCAGGUAAUCGCAGGCUUUAUAAAGCUUGAGGAAAGUCCGAGCUCCACAGGGCAGGGUGCUGGGUAAUACCCAGUGAGGGUGACCUCAGGAAAGUGCUACAGAAAAUAAACAGCCAUACUGGCAAUGGUGAAAAGGCAGGGUAAGAGCCUACCAGUUAUUGGGUGACCAAUAAGCUUAGUAAACCCCGCUUGGAGCAAGAUCAAGAAGGAAACAGGUAGUAGCCCGCUAUAGGUUUCCGGGUAGAUCGCUAGAAGUAUAAGGUAACUUAUACUCCAGAUAGAUGAUUACCACACUGUUUUUAUGAAAAGUGAAAGAACAGUGACAGAACUCGGCUUAUGAUUUGCUUACCAA
rnacentral:RNase_P_RNA from 2 species